AUUGAACGCUGGCGGCAGGCCUAACACAUGCAAGUCGAACGGUAACAGAAAGCAGCUUGCUGCUUUGCUGACGAGUGGCGGACGGGUGAGUAAUGUCUGGGAAACUGCCUGAUGGAGGGGGAUAACUACUGGAAACGGUAGCUAAUACCGCAUAACGUCGCAAGACCAAAGAGGGGGACCUUCGGGCCUCUUGCCAUCGGAUGUGCCCAGAUGGGAUUAGCUAGUAGGUGGGGUAAAGGCUCACCUAGGCGACGAUCCCUAGCUGGUCUGAGAAGAUGACCAGCCACACUGGAACUGAGACACGGUCCAGACUCCUACGGGAGGCAGCAGUGGGGAAUAUUGCACAAUGGGCGCAAGCCUGAUGCAGCCAUGCCGCGUGUAUGAAGAAGGCCUUCGGGUUGUAAAGUACUUUCAGCGGGGAGGAAGGGAGUAAAGUUAAUACCUUUGCUCAUUGACGUUACCCGCAGAAGAAGCACCGGCUAACUCCGUG
rnacentral:rRNA from 1 species